AUUUAUUAUAGACGUGGCUCCCUUAAUAAUAAACCACGACGCUCCCGGGAGCCGCCACGCACAGGUUAAAAACUACUGACGUAUACAAUAUUACAUUUCGAUUAUGAUGAUAACGGUUUGAAUAGAAUAUUUAUUUUUAGAUUUAAUGUAAACAAUAAUCACAAUAGAUUCAAUUUAUAGGUAUUAAAUUUCAUGGAAUUUAUAAUAUUUAAAUUGACCACACAGCACAUACACUUCUUCCACUGCAGGCCACCGGUCAGUGAUUCACGAUAUAAAAAGACGUCUUGGAUAAUGGUGACGGGUGUAGGCUACUGGUAUAGAUAAUUUUAGCAACGAUAAACCAUUGCUUACGAAAAAACGAUUCUGAGUGAAGUCCAGUUAAUUGUGAUUAUUUGUCAACAAUAUAUAUGUCAUUUUAUAGUAAAAUAAUUAAAAAGGCUUUAUAUAUUUUCUUUAAUAAUAAUAUUUGUUUAAUG